rnacentral:rRNA from 1 species
UACAGAGGGGGCGAGCGUUGUUCGGAAUUACUGGGCGUAAAGGGCGCGUAGGCGGCCCGCUAAGUCGAACGUGAAAUCCCCAGGCUCAACCUGGGAACUGCGUCCGAUACUGGCAGGCUUGAGUAUGGGAGAGGGAUGUAGAAUUCCAGGUGUAGCGGUGAAAUGCGUAGAUAUCUGGAGGAAUACCGGUGACGAAGGCGGCAUCCUGGACCAUAACUGACGCUGAGGCGCGAAAGCUAGGGGAGCAAACGGG